GAUGAACGCUAGCGAUAGGCUUAACACAUGCAAGUCGAGGGGCAGCAUGGUCUUAGCUUGCUCAGACUGAUGGCGACCGGCGCACGGGUGCGUAACGCGUAUGCAACUUGCCUCACAGAGGGGGAUAACCCGUCGAAAGACGGACUAAUAACGCGUACACUCCAUCUUGGGCAUCCAAGGUAGAGGAAAUGAAAUUCGCUGUGAGAUAGGCAUGCGUCCCAUUAGCUAGUUGGUGAGGUAACGGCUCACCAAGGCGACGAUGGGUAGGGGAACUGAGAGGUUGAACCCCCACACUGGUACUGGGACACGGCCCAGACUCCUACGGGAGGCAGCAGUGAGGAAUAUUGGUCAAUGGGCGAGAGCCUGAGCCAGCCAAGUCGCGUGAAGGAUGACUGUCUUAUGGAUUGUAAACUUCUUUUAGACGGGAAUAACAAGAGUCACGGGUGACUCCCUGCCUGUACCGCAUGAAUAAGCAUCGGCUAACUCCGUG
rnacentral:rRNA from 1 species